rnacentral:rRNA from 1 species
GAUGAACGCUAGCGGCAGGCCUAAUACAUGCAAGUCGAACGGCAAGGAGUGUAGCAAUACAUUCCCUAGAGUGGCGCACGGGUGCGUAACGCGUAUGCAACCUACCUUCAACUGAGGGAUAGCCCCGGGAAACUGGGAUUAAUACUUCAUGGAAUCAUUAGCUCGCAUGGGUUUGGUGAUUAAAGUUUUAANGGUUGGAGAUGGGCAUGCGUGACAUUAGCUAGUUGGUAAGGUAACGGCUUACCAAGGCUACGAUGUCUAGGGGUUCUGAGAGGAUGAUCCCCCACACUGGUACUGAGAUACGGACCAGACUCCUACGGGAGGCAGCAGUAGGGAAUAUUGGUCAAUGGACGGAAGUCUGAACCAGCCAUGCCGCGUGCAGGAUGACGGCCCUCUGGGUUGUAACUGCUUUGUACGGAGAAACCCCUUCGGUUGGAGGGCUGACGGUACCGUAAGAAUAAGGAUCGGCUAACUACGUGCCAGCAGCCGC